ensembl:snRNA U6 U6 spliceosomal RNA
GUGUUUGCUUCAGCAGCACAUACACUAAAAUUGUAACAAUACAGAGAAGAUUAACAUUGCCCCUGUGCAAGGAUGACAUGUAAAUUCGUGAAGCAUUCCAUAUUUUU